UACGAAGGGGGCUAGCGUUGUUCGGAAUUACUGGGCGUAAAGCGCGCGCAGGCGGUCUUCCAAGUCAGUGGUGAAAGCCCGGAGCUCAACUCCGGAACUGCCAUUGAAACUGUGAGACUUGAGGAUGAGAGAGGUGAGUGGAAUUCCCAGUGUAGAGGUGAAAUUCGUAGAUAUUGGGAAGAACACCGGUGGCGAAGGCGGCUCACUGGCUCAUAUCUGACGCUCAGGCGCGACAGCGUGGGGAUCAAACAGG
rnacentral:rRNA from 1 species